rnacentral:sRNA from 1 species
UCGAACCCUGCAAGGCAGAACGACCCGUGAACAUGUAACCACAACGGGGUGACCGUGAUAAGGGCCUCGGUCCUUAUCCCCUAACCCUUCCCGACGUGAGUUCGUGGUGUCUUUUUGGGCAUCAUGGAUUCCGUUGGACCAUAACAAAACCCCGGCACGGUAUGUGCCAAGGAAAACAAAAAUGAGAAGGACACUACCUGUUUCGCCCCGUUUGCGGUGUGCGUACAGGUCGUGGCCUCCUUGGAAUCACAAACGACUCUCGGCAACGGAUAUCUCGGCUCACGCAUCGAUGAAGAACGUAGCAAAAUGCGAUACUUGGUGUGAAUUGCAGAAUCCCGUGAACCAUCGAGUUUUUGAACGCAAGUUGCGCCCGAAGCCAUCCGGCUGAGGGCACGCCUGCCUGGGCGUCACGCAUCGCGUCGCUCCCCACCAUACCUCCCCAACGGGUUGGCAUGGUGUUGGGGGCGGAUAAUGGCCUCCCGUGCUUGUGUUUCGGUUGGCCUAAAUAAGAGUUCCCUUCGGCGGACACACGACUAGUGGUGGUUGAAUAGACCCUCGUCUUUUGUUGCGUGUCGUGAGCUGUAAGGGUAGCCCUCAUCACAGACCCCAUUGUAUCGUCUUCGGAUGAUGCUUCGAC